GUGUAACCCACAUAAAAAUCUGAAUCGAAAUCUUAAAUUCUAAUCGGAGCGUGUCCGUGAAGGCAUCGCGAUGCGUCAUGACGCACGCCACGCCGCGAGUCUGCACGUGCCUGUCGUGACCAAUCACAUUCGCGAGGCACGAAUAUAUGCCUUCCGGGUUGUCGCCUCGAACAGGUGCGGGGGAGAGGCGUUAGCGGAUGGAAGCAACAGGUACGUGGGGCGAGCGCUCUUCGCUGUUUACUAUCUUGGCUUGUCUUUGAAUUAAUUGUGGAUUGCGUUCAACAGUGCUUUGAUACCGCCGCGGGUAGAUGCGUGGGGGCUCGUAUGUGACAUCGCACGUAGUGAAUGUGCAGGCUAGUGGUGCCUUGGGGAGACCACAGCGGCACCACUACUUUGGAUGGCGAGCUAGGCCCAACGAGCCAGAACCCCAGCUACAACUUCCUGCGGUCUGGUAGGAGGCUGCUGUGGCCUACACUCUCCCCCCCUGGUUUUCAGUCCUCUGAAUCUCACUUCUGGGAUCUCAGUCUUGGAAUCUCAGUUCUGAUCAUCACACUUCCAAGUUCAAUCUGUUGCAGACUGUCAUGCGCAUUGGAUUUAUAUCAAUCAUGAAAUAGUAAUUUUAUGGACAUUGUCUGCCGGGGGUUGGAGGAGGUUGCUGCACCAUUGUGCAGCUGAUACUUUACAAGCUUGAAUUAUGUUUUAUCUUGUCCUGUCUGCAGAUUUUGUAAAUAUUGGUAUUUGGUAAUUGCACUUUAUUUUCACUGUAAAUAACAACCGUAAUCACAAUAUCUGUUGUGGUUGUAUGUUUAUUAUACUUCACUCACCUCCCAGAGCCGAAUCUGAUAUCUUCUGAAUUAGGUCAACUACUCAUAACUAACUCAAUUUAGUUUAGCUUAUGUACUUGCUACAUA
ensembl:lncRNA